UACGGAGGGGGCUAGCGUUGUCCGAAGUUACUGGGCGUAAAGCGCGCGUAGGCGGGUUGGUAAGUCCGCUGUGAAAGCCCGGAGCUCAACUCCGGAGGGUCGGUGGAUACUGCCAGUCUUGAAGGUGCUAGGGGGAGAUGGAAUUACCGGUGUAGCGGUGAAAUGCGUAGAUAUCGAGAGGAACACCUGCGGCGAAGGCGGGUUGCUGGGCCGACACUGACGCUGAUGCGCGAAAGCCAGGGGAGCGAACGGG
rnacentral:rRNA from 1 species